UACGGGGGGGGCAAGCGUUGUUCGGAAUUACUGGGCGUAAAGGGCGCGUAGGCGGCCUUCUCAGUCAGACGUGAAAUCCCCGGGCUUAACUCGGGAACUGCGUCUGAUACUGGAAGGCUGGAGUUCGGGAGAGGGAGUGUGGGAAUUCCAGGGUGUAGCGGUGGAAAAUGCGUAGAUAUCUGGAGGAACUCCGGUGGCGAAGGCGGCGUGCGUGGACCCGAGUCCUGACGCUGACGGCGGCGGAAAGCCAGGGGAGCCAA
rnacentral:rRNA from 1 species